rnacentral:misc_RNA from 1 species
UCUCCGUUGGUGAACCAGCGGAGGGAUCAUUACCGAGUUUACAACUCCCAAACCCCUGUGAACAUACCAUUUGUUGCCUCGGCGGUGCCUGCUUCGGCAGCCCGCCAGAGGACCUAAACCCUUGAUUUUAUACAGUAUCUUCUGAGUAAAUGAUUAAAUAAAUCAAAACUUUCAACAACGGAUCUCUUGGUUCUG